rnacentral:rRNA from 1 species
GACGAACGCUGGCGGCGUGCCUAAUACAUGCAAGUAGAACGCACAGUUUAUACCGUAGCUUGCUACACCAUAAACUGUGAGUUGCGAACGGGUGAGUAACGCGUAGGUAACCUGCCUGGUAGCGGGGGAUAACUAUUGGAAACGAUAGCUAAUACCGCAUAAUAUUGAUUAUUGCAUGAUAAUUGAUUGAAAGAUGCUAUUGCAUCACUACCAGAUGGACCUGCGUUGUAUUAGCUAGUAGGUGAGGUAACGGCUCACCUAGGCGACGAUACAUAGCCGACCUGAGAGGGGGAUCGGCCACACUGGGACUGAGACACGGCCCAGACUCCUACGGGAGGCAGCAGGAGGGAAUCUUCGGCAAUGGACGAAAGUCUGACCGAGCAACGCCGCGGGAGUGAAGAAGGUUUUCGGAUCGUAAAGCUCUGUUGUAAGAGAAGAACGGGUGUGAGAGUGGAAAGUUCACACUGUGACGGUAGCUUACCAGAAAGGGACGGCUAACUACGUG